UACUAAUAGAGUAGUCAGUACUAAUAGAGUAGUAAUUUUCAACCCAUCCGUUCUAAUUUCUAUCUCCCUUUGUCUUUUCUAUCUAUUCUUUCAUUUAGCCUAAUUCACGUUCACCUACAAUUUGCUAAUGAUGAAUCUAAUUUCCCAAUUAAACAUAGAUGGAAAAUUUUCCCCAAAAAAUACUACAUCUAUCAAUUACAUAAAAACAGUAUAAAUGGAUUUUCAAUCUAUAUAGAGCAAUCAUGUGGGGAUUAAACAAUUGAAGCAAUCAAGCAAAUAAUCUGGUAAUUUAUUUCUCCUUUUUCCUAUUUUUUGAUUUUUUAUAUAUAUGUUUUUCCUAUAUUUUUUUUCGUUGAUAUUUUUUAUUUUCUAAAAUUUAUUCAAUUAAGAUUAAGGUGGAGAUAAAUAAAAGUGGAGUUGAAUGCCACUGAAUUCAUAAAUAAUAAUGUCAAUGAAGAUGAUGAAGUUGAUAAUCCAAGUAAUGAUAUGCAAGAUGAUGAAGUCCAUAAUCCAAGUAAUGAUAUGCAUGAAGAUGAAAAAACAAGUUCAAAAUUGGAUUAUUUUUUAUCCUAAAGAUUGGGGUAACCUUGAUAAUAAAUUAAGGGACAUCAUUAUAGAAAAGGGAACUAUAAGAGAAUCGAAUCUUGAUUUUCCUUUGGAUAAUAAUAUGAAAUUUUCCUAUUCCUAUUUUGCUCGAAAAUUAAGUAAUGGUGAAAUUAGUGAUCGAAAGUGGUUAGUUUAUUCCAAAAGUGUUAAUAAAGUGUUUCAUUUUUUCUGUAAAUUGUUUAAAUAUGCUAAUAAUCGAAGUUUGCUAGCUAAUGCGGGGUUAUGUGAUUGGCAACAUCUUAGUGAAAAAGGCUAAAAAUCAUGAAAUUAAUGUAGAGCAUAUAACUGUUGCUGAUCCCUCUGUUUCGGUGGCUGAGGUAACCAUGGGCCCACCUGAUGUUAUUGUGGACCUUGUGGACCCUUUUGUCAUCUCUGCCCCCCCAGGUUGAGGUUGUUGAAGAAACAUCUGUCCCAUAAACUGAUGAUGGGACUCAAUCUGUACAUACCAAUCUUCCAGUUGCUGUUGCUGAGGAGAUUGUUGGCGAGAGUCCCUCCCAUGACCCGCAACAUGUCAUGGAGGGUGAAGCUGAAACUGAGGAAGUCCUCUUGUAAGUGAGGACCCUAAUUCUGCUGAAGUUUUUCUAGUUGAAGCCCCCCAUCCAGAGGAAUCACACCCUUCCAGACAAAGCUGGAUAAGGCGAUCACCUCCCAGCAAUUUGGGUCUAUGGACAUCAUGGCCAGUGUUGGGAGGUUUCUGGAAGGCCCACAUCAUGACUUUGAUGAGUUGAUUAAUUCUAGAUUCUCUGGUUAAGUGGACAUACCAUUUUGAUCUUCAGAAUUUUCUCCAGAAGAAUCAAACUCAAGAAGCUGAGAUUAACACUCUUGUGACUGAGGUGGAGAGUCUCAAAGCUAGGGACCUGGCAUUGGAAUCUGAUUCAUUCUCUCUUGCAAUUGAAUCAAAGGGCCUAAAUGAGAAGAUUCAGUUCUUGGAAUCUGAGCUACUUUCUCACCAGAAUGAAAUAAAUAAUUGGAAGAGUAAAACCUAAUUUUUGGAGACUGAGCUCAGCAACCAACUUAAUUAAUGACCGCCAAAGAGCUCACAAAGGCUGAGAAAAACAUAAGUGAGGUUAAUGCCAAACAUAAGGAGCUACAAGCUGAGCAUAUAUCCCAGUCCAACUAUAUUUUAAAGCAACAAGCAACCAUUGCCAAAGGUGUUGAAGAAUCUGACCGACUUCAGAGAGAUUUGAAGAAGGUUGAAGAUACUUUGGCUUCUGUUGAGCACUCUUCUGAUAAAAAGGAUGAGGAAAUUUUGCACCACAAAUCUCAGCUUUCAAAGUCCAAGUAUCUGACAAGGACUUAAAGGUGUAUAAUCGACGUUGCAAAGAGUGACAAAAAUAGGUUGAGGGAGUAGAUAUCAGCUCUGGAAGCUAAUGUGGAAAAACUGGAGACUGAGAAGAAGCACCUAAAGGCCCAGGAGAGAACGAAAGCAACUGAAUACUUUCAAUCCUAGUUUCAAUCUCACCUGGUGGCUGAUAGGGCUAGAACCAAGAAGGGUACUCUCUGGCUUGCAAUGAAUGCAGUUUUUACUGCUUAUCCUAACCUAGAAUGGUCUAAAAUCGAACCCUUCUUGGCUCCAGAAACUCCAGUAGCUUCAUGCAUUCCAACCCUAAGGGCCCAAUACAAAGCAUCACCUGGCUAGGGAAUUGGUACUUCUACUCUUUCUGCCUCGACGACUCCUCCAGCCGACAAAUCAAACUUUUUCUUCUUUUUCCUUUUCUAACCCCUAGAAGCUUCAAAAAUUUUGUUGUAUAUUGAACACUUCCAGGUUCUUGUAACUUUAUUUUCUACUGAAUGAAUGAAUA